rnacentral:rRNA from 1 species
GAGUUGAUCAUGGCUCAGGACGAACGCUGGCGGCACGCUUAACACAUGCAAGUCGAACGGAGAAUUUUGGUUACUGAGAAUUCUAGUGGCGGACGGGUGAGUAACACGUGAGCAACCUGCCUCUGAGAGAGGGAUAGCUUCUGGAAACGGAUGGUAAUACCUCAUAAUAUAAUUGAACCGCAUGAUUUGAUUAUCAAAGAUUUAUCACUCAGAGAUGGGCUCGCGUCUGAUUAGAUAGUUGGUGAGGUAACGGCUCACCAAGUCGACGAUCAGUAGCCGGACUGAGAGGUUGAACGGCCACAUUGGGACUGAGACACGGCCCAGACUCCUACGGGAGGCAGCAGUGGGGAAUAUUGCACAAUGGGGGAAACCCUGAUGCAGCGAUGCCGCGUGGAGGAAGAAGGUUUUCGGAUUGUAAACUCCUGUCUUAAAGGACGAUAAUGACGGUACUUUAGGAGGAAGCUCCGGCUAACUACGUGCCAGCCGCCGC